CCCUUAGAUGUUCUGGGCCGCACACGCGCUACACUGAAGGAGGCAGCGUGUACUCCUGGAUCGAAAGAUUUGGGUAACCCGCGAAUCUCCUUCGUGCUAGGGAUUGAGGUUUGCAAUUAUCCUUCAUGAACGAGGAAUUCCCAGUAAGUGCAAGUCAUAAGCUUGCGCUGACUACGUCCCUGCCCUUUGUACACACCGCCCGUCGCUACUACCGAUUGAAUGAUUUAGUGAGGACUUCGGACUGGGACCGAUGCGGCUUUCGGGCUGCGUCGGUAUUCUGGAAAGAUGUCCAAACUGUAUCAUUUAGAGGAAGUAAAAGUCGUAUCA
rnacentral:rRNA from 1 species